rnacentral:rRNA from 1 species
AUACGGAGGGUGCAAGCGUUGUUCGGAAUCACUGGGCGUAAAGGGCGCGCAGGCGGUUUGGUAAGUCAGAUGUGAAAGCCCACGGCUCAACCGUGGAAGUGCAUUUGAAACUGUCAGACUUGAGUACUAGAGGGGAAAGUGGAAUUCCCGGUGUAGAGGUGAAAUUCGUAGAUAUCGGGAGGAAUACCGGUGGCGAAGGCGACUUUCUGGCUAGAUACUGACGCUGAGGCGCGAAAGCGUGGGGAGCAAACAGGAUUAGAAACCCAGUAGUCC